CCGCGGGCUGCGCUCCUUCCCGCCGGCCGAGCCCCAUGUUGGGCUGCGGGCAGGAGGACUCACGGCACCGACGUUCCCCUCGGGCACAAGGUGCCGGUGUGCGGCUCCGCGGCCGCAGCUCCGUCACAGCACCUCACGCCCGCGGGUCGCGGCCUCCCGGUUCCGGAGCGGCUCUGCCCUUUUCCCGGCGCGUCGGGCCGUGUCGGAGCGGAGCCGCUGACGUCACUCGGUGCCGGCGGAGCCGCCACCAACCGCGCGCAGGGAGCGGCCUCGCCCGGAGCGGAGCGGAGCGGAGCAGUGCGCGGCCCCGUGCGCGCCCCCGCCCCUUCCCGGGGCUGCGCGAAGCUCCCGGGAGCGCGGUGCAGGGGCCGCCUUCCGGCACGCGCAGCGCCGCCCGGGCAGCGGCACAAGCUCCGCCGGCCGCGAGGUGAGUGCGGCCCGCGGGGCGGGGGCGUCGCGCUCGGGGGGGGGGAGGAGCUCCGGGCGCCCGGCCUCGGAGCGAGGGGCCGCCGGCACCGACUUCGGCCUCCGUCCGCGGCCGCCGCUCCGCCCGCCGGUGCGGGCCGUCCCUUUGUUGUGUGCACACGGGCCCGUUGGUCGGGCGCAGCGCGGCGUCUCGGGACGGAGCGUCGCGGUCCGCGCGAGUUUAAACUUUACCGGCGGCCCGUCAUAAGGCACGGCCCGCAAGCGGCUCCGCCGGCGGCCUCCCGUACCGGCGGCCUCCCGUACCGGCGGCCUCCCGUACCGGCGGCCUCCCGUACCGGCGGCCUCCCGUACCGGCGGCCUCCCGUACCGGUGGCCUCCCGUACCGGCGGCCUCUCGUGCCGGCUGCUCCUUCUGCGCGGCGCUGCCCCCCCCCCCGCUCUGCCCUCUUGGCGUCCCGGCCUUGGUUCCGCUCUCCCUGGCCGGUCCGAUGUGAGCUCGGGCCCGAGCCCGGCGGGUUGCGGAGCGGAGCGGCCGCUGAGGCCGGGCUGCGGGUCGGUGAGGCCGGGCUGCGGGUCGGUGAGGCCGGGCUGCGGGUCGGUGAGGCCGGGCUGCGGGUCGGAGGCGCCGCGCGGUCGAACGGGGCCUCCGCGGGGCUCCGCGCGGUGCGCGGCCGUUGAUCCCCCGGCGCAGCGACUCGGGGGCGGCGGGUGCGGGGCGGGCCGGGAGCGGCGGGCGGAACCUCGGCCGUCCUUUGUGCGAUCCGAUCCGAUCCGCGCGGAGGAGCCGGGUGGCCGCGGCACCGGCCGGGCGCUGGGAAUGUCUCCCUUUGUGGGGAAUAAGUGGAAAUCCGGAAAGUCUUUUUGGAUCCGACUCAAAGUUUAG
rnacentral:lncRNA from 1 species